UACGAAGGGGGCUAGCGUUGCUCGGAAUUACUGGGCGUAAAGGGCGCGUAGGCGGACAGCUUAGUCAGAGGUGAAAGCCCAGGGCUCAACCUUGGAACUGCCUUUGAUACUGGCUGUCUUGAGUUUGGGAGAGGUGAGUGGAACUCCGAGUGUAGAGGUGAAAUUCGUAGAUAUUCGGAAGAACACCAGUGGCGAAGGCGACUCACUGGCCCAAUACUGACGCUGAGGCGCGAAAGCGUGGGGAGCAAACAGGAUUAGAUACCCGAGUAGUCC
rnacentral:rRNA from 1 species